rnacentral:rRNA from 1 species
GACGAACGCUGGCGGCGUGCUUAACACAUGCAAGUCGAACGGAAAGGCCCUGCUUUUGUGGGGUGCUCGAGUGGCGAACGGGUGAGUAACACGUGAGUAACCUGCUCUUGACUUUGGGAUAACUUCAGGAAACUGGGGCUAAUACCGGAUAGGAGCUCCUGCUGCAUGGUGGGGGUUGGAAAGUUUCGGCGGUUGGGGAUGGACUCGCGGCUUAUCAGCUUGUUGGUGGGGUAGUGGCUUACCAAGCGUUUGACGGGUAGCCGGCCUGAGAGGGUGACCGGCCACAUUGGGACUGCGAGACGGCCCAGACUCCUACGGGAGGCAGCAGUGGGGAAUAUUGCACAGUGGGCGGGAGCCUGAUGCAGCAACGCCGCGUGCGGGAUGACGGCCUUCGGGUUGUAAACCGCUUUCGCCUGUGACGAAGCGGGAGUGACGGUAAUGGGUAAAGAAGCACCGGCUAACUACGUU